rnacentral:rRNA from 1 species
CUUACACCGGUCUGAACUCAAAUCAUGUAAAAUUUUAAAGGUCGAACAGACCUUCUCUUAUAGUCUCUACUCUAUAAAGAACCUUUAAUUCAACAUCGAGGUCGCAAACUUUCUUGUCGAUAAGAACUCUCAAAGAAAAUUACGCUGUUAUCCCUAAAGUAACUUAAUCUUUAAUCCCUUUUAGGAUCAAUAAUUCAAAUAUUAUUGUAAAAAUAAAAGACAGUUAUCCUUUCUUAUAUCCUUGUCGCCCCAACAAAAUAAUUUAAAAUAGUAAUUUUAAAAUAAAAUUAUUUUCCACCUUAAAAUAUAAAGUUUUAUAGGGUCUUAUCGUCCCCUUAGAUCAUUUAAGCCUUUUCACUUAAAAGUUAAAUUCAAUAUAUUAAUUUAAGACAGAUUAUUUCUUGUCCAACCAUUCAUUCUAGCCUUCAAUUAAAAAACUAAUGAUUAUGCUACCUUUGCACGGUCAUAAUACCGCGGCCUUUCAGUUUUCCAAUGGGCAGGUCAGACUUUAUAAAUCUCUCAUAUAGA